ensembl:snoRNA SNORA63 Small nucleolar RNA SNORA63
AAGCAGGAUAAGUUACAGUGCAGCGUGUGCAGUACUGCGCUGUCGUUCCCCCUGCACACAGAAACCUGUCUCCUACUAUCCCUGUCUGUCUGCAUCCCACAGCUGGCAGGGACGCUUGGUCUCAGACAA